GGGUCGGUAGCUCAGUCGGUAGAGCAGUUGGCUCUUAACCAAUUGGUCGUGGGUUCAAGUCCCACCCGACCCACCA
rnacentral:tRNA from 1 species